rnacentral:rRNA from 1 species
CAGUAGCCGCGGUAAUACGUAGGUGGCAAGCGUUGUCCGGAAUUAUUGGGCGUAAAGGGCUCGCAGACGGUUUCUUAAGUCUGAUGUGAAAGCCCCCGGCUCAACCGGGGAGGGUCAUUGGAAACUGGGAAACUUGAGUGCAGAAGAGGAGAGUGGAAUUCCACGUGUAGCGGUGUAAUGCGUAGAGAUGUGGAGGAACACCAGUGGCGAAGGCGACUCUCUGGUCUGUAACUGACGCUGAGGAGCGAAAGCUAGGGGAGCAAACAGGAUUAGAUACCCCCGUAGUCCCUGUCUCUUAUAC